CCUACGGGAGGCAGCAGUGGGGAAUAUUGCACAAUGGGGGAAACCCUGAUGCAGCGACGCCGCGUGAGCGAUGAAGGAUCUCGGUAUGUAAAGCUCUAUCAGCAGGGAAGAAGAUGACGGUACCUGACUAAGAAGCCCCGGCUAACUACGUGCCAGAAGCCGUGGGAACACGCAGGGGGCAAGGGUUAUCCGGAUUUACUGGGUGUAAAGGGAGCGUAGUCGGCGAUGCAAGCCAGAUGUGAAAGCCCGGGGCUCAACCCCGGGACUGCAUUUGGAACUGUGUGGCUGGAGUGUCGGAGAGGCAGGCGGAAUUCCUGGUGUAGCGGUGAAAUGCGUAGAUAUUAGGAGGAACACCAGUGGCGAAGGCGGCCUGCUGGACGAUGACUGACGUUGAGGCUCGAAAGCGUGGGGAGCAAACAGGAUUAGAUACCCCAGUAGUC
rnacentral:rRNA from 1 species